rnacentral:lncRNA from 1 species
UUCAUAGAAUUGAGUGUUUUGAGCCCGGGUAUCUAAAAGGAAGAUGUUUGCAUUUCCUCUUCUCACGCUGGAGAAUAGCAGCCCAAAACUUAAAAAAAAAUCAAAACAAAAACCAAUUUGACAAGGGAAGCUUGUAGCCAGUUGAAAAGUGUGAUAUUAAUUGCGUUAGCCGUACAUCCUUUGUUAGAGGUAACGCAAGUGCUAGAUAAUAUUUAAAUUAAAAGCUGAAGUUGACGUCUCAGCAGGUCGCCAAACCUGAUGGUUCAAUCUCCUGGACCCACGAGGUGAAAGAGAGAAGCUACUCUGACCUCACUAAUGCAAAUCGAAACACUAAACACGUGCACAGCCAUACAUAUAAAAUACAUCAAUAGAUUUAUGUUUUAAAAGAAAGCUGUAACGUUUGAUGUUUGCAAAACCUCAAAAAAAAAAAAAAAAAAGAAAGAAAGAAAAAGCCAGAACAUGUUUGUGGUGAAGUCAGGCCUGAAACUUCUGUCCUUUGAUGGCUCUGCCUGCAACAUUGGCCCUUGUUUGGCAUCUUAAAACUUGGAGUUUGGGCAUGUUCUGAUGUAGUAGUAAUUGUUCUAUACUCAGCAUUAUGUUUCAUGCCAAAAUGACCAGUUACCAUACAGUUUCUGUGCUCCAAGUCUCUAAUGGGUUCCCCUGAACCCAGAUUCAUGUUGCUGCUUAGUCCUUGUCUUACCCACCUGAAGAGAGAGACUUUAUGGAAGUUAUGGGCAAAGUACCCUUUUCCAGUCUAGUCGGGUUGAGUGUUCAUAGAAUGUACCAUGAAAUAUACAACCAUGUGCUGAAUCCUGUGAGUCAGUCCUCUUGACUCCUCAGUGCCAGGAGAGACUUGGAGGUUUCCAGACACAAUUUUGAUAAUGGAAAGCCUUUGAAAGUCCAGUAGUUGGAUUUUAAUGUUGUUUGCUUGCUUGUUCUGCCUUAAGUGGCAUUUGUAGGAGAAGGUUACAUGGUAUUGCCACAUUAUGGCUUGUGGAUGUUCAGAUAACGUUACAUCUGCUAGAAAAAUGAUUGGAAAUUGCCCCUCCAUUACCGGGAGACGUUUGAGACAACGGUUUCGAAAAAGGUAGCAGGUUGUUUACAAAGUCAAAAUCAAAAAUCUGCCUCUGAGUAUUCUUCCAGAGGUCAUCAUUAUCUGUACAUAAAUCUUCAUCAAGGGUUUAUCUGUUAUAGGGGAAAAUAUAUCAUUUCUCGUGAGCUGUUUCUGUCUGAGAAUGCCUUACUCUGGCCAGGGCUCAAAUUAAAGUUAGUGGAUGCAGGUUUGUAAAUUUAGAGGUGGAAAGCCGGGAUUGGUGGGGCGGUAGGGGAGGUGCAGGUGAGACUGAAAAGGGUUUGGAGUGUCUGAGUAUUGUGCACAGAAGUUGUCCAGGGAGAGGUGUGGGGGAUGAGGGUAAGCCCGGUCUUACAAGACUUUCUGAAUACAUGAGAAAAUGGUGACUUGGGUUCAUCUAGAAUUGGCUUCUGCUAAAUGGCUGAUAGAGUGUUUACUUACUAAAGCUAAAUGUGACCACGUGAUUUUCUUUAGUCAGCUAAUAUGAGCUUCCAGGCAAAGCUUUACAAAAUAGCUCUGUAUUAAUCUUUCUCCGUUCUGCUCUAGGAAUUGAAGCAUUGUUGAGGUGUGCUAGCAAGGACACUUGCACACACACCCCAUAUACACACUUAAAAAAAUAAUAUGUGAAAACAGUAUUAAAAAAAGAAAAGAAUGAAGAGCUGUAACAGAUGAAGUUAAAAACAAUGACUGAAUCUCCAUCCCCCUCUCAAAAAUAAUCCUUUUAGAAAACACAAAUCAGAUAAGGAAAUUAGAAUAUGUUAGGAUUAUAAGGUAUAAGGGCGUACUUUUCUUAGAUGUGGUAGUGAUGUUAUGCAGGAGAAUUAUUCUUUUUUAAAAGCACUAUGCUUACAUAUUUAGGGAUAAAAUUUCAUUAUUUCUUCAACUGCUUUUCAGGUGCUAUCAAAAUAGUCAUAUGUAUCGGGCUGAAGAGAUGGCACAGUGCCUAAGAACAUACGCUGCUCUUAGGAAGAGUGAGUUUCGUUCUCAGCACCCGCAUUGGGCAGUGCAUAUGCCUGUAACUCCAUCUUCAGGGAUCUGAUGCCAUCUUCUGUCCUCCACAAGCAGCGAUAUUAACAUGCACACACCCAGAGGAAUACAUAUACUUUAGAAUUUUUAAAAAAUUGUGUAUUUCUACCUGGACAUGGUGGCACACAUUUUUAACUUACACUCUGGAGGCAGAGGCAGAGGCAGGCAGAUCUCUGAGUUUAGGGUCCUGAUUUACAGAGUACAUUCUAGGACAGCCAGAGCUAUACAGAGAAACCUUGUCUUGAAAAGC